GAUGAACGCUGGCGGCGUGCCUAAUACAUGCAAGUCGAGCGAACAGACGAGGAGCUUGCGCCUCUGACGUUAGCGGCGGACGGGUGAGUAACACGUGGAUAACCUACCUAUAAGACGGGGAUAACUUCGGAAAACCGGAGCUAAUCCCGGAUAACAUGUUGAUCCGCGGGGUUCAACAGUGAGAGACGGUCGUGCUGUCACUUAUAGAUGGAUCCGAGCCGCAUUGGCUAGUAGGUAAGGUAACGGGUUACCAAGGCAACGAUGCGUAGCCGACCUGAGAGGGGGAUCGGCCACCCGGGAGCGUGGCCACCGUCCAUGCUCCUGCGGUAGGCAGCAGUAGGCAAUCUUCCGCAAUGGUCGGAAGCCUUACGCAGCAGCGCCGCGUGAGUUAAGACGGUCUUCGGUUCGUAAUGCCCUGUUAUGAGUUAAGAACAAAUUUGUAAGGAACCAUGCACGUCUUGACGGUACCGAAUCAGAAAGCCACGGCUAACUACGUG
rnacentral:rRNA from 1 species